AUUGAACGCUGGCGGCAUGAUUUACACAUGCAAGUCGAACGGUAACAGGCCGCAAGGUGCUGACGAGUGGCGAACGGGUGAGUAAUGCAUCGGAACGUGCCCAGUCGUGGGGGAUAACUACUCGCAAGAGUAGCUAAUACCGCAUACGAUCUAUGGAUGGAAGCGGGGGACCGGAAGGCCGCGCGCGAUUGGAGCGGCCGAUGUCAGAUUAGGUAGUUGGUGGGGUAAAGGCUCACCAAGCCAACGAUCUGUAGCUGGUCUGAGAGGACGAGCGGCCACACUGGAACUGAGACACGGCCCAGACUCCUACGGGAGGCAGCAGUGGGGAAUUUUGGGCAAUGGGCGCAAGCCUGAUCCAGCAAUGCCGCGUGCAGGAAGAAGGCCUUCGGGUUGUAAACUGCUUUUGUACGGAACGAAACGGCUCUGGUUAAUACCCGGGGCUAAUGACGGUACCGGAAGAAUAAGCACCGGCUAACUACGUG
rnacentral:rRNA from 1 species